UGUACUGUGUAUUGUGUAGUGGCCCAUGCAUCGCUAAGAUGGCUGUCACUUGUUAGUAGCGUAAUUCCUCUUCGAAUUCGAUGCGUAUUUCGCAAAAAAAGUCGCGUUCCGUUCGUUCGCGUGGCGGUACCGCGUGCCGCUUUUCGCGAUUCGUGCAUCUCGGACAUACGGAAUCACCCUCUUGAGAUACUUGGUGCUUAAACGCCCCGCGUUUGUGGGAUGCUGUGCGCGUGAAAGGCGGAACGGUUUGCCCGUCCACACCAGCCAUGUUCAUCGAGUGUCCUUUUGUGACAACGUGAUAUAAUAUUUACGCCCGGUUGCUCGGUCGAAGAGAUUCUUGCGCGCGCAUCGACAGCAUUUUGUGGUUUUUUCAUAAACGAUACCCUUCUCGUCUCGUCUCAUCUUGUGUGGUGUCGCGUCGUCUCGUUUCGUCUCUUUUCGUCGCGUAUCGUCUCGUUUCGCCUUGCCUCGUCCCGCCUCGUCUCGUUUCGUCCCAUCUCAUCUCGUCUCUCGUCCAGUUGAAACUUCUUAUUAACAUUUACUUGCUGCCAUCAAGUAUAGAUUAAAUGAAAGGUCGGUAGCAACAGUGGUGAGGCGGGGUGGAGUUCGAAGAAGGGAUGAAUGGAACGGCAGCGCUGCGGCGCAGCGUCGGGGCUGGUCAGGCAGGCGCCAUCAGUGGUGGAGCCAUUGAACCAGCACCUAUCGCCACUCUUGUUAUAUACAAGGAUGAUGCUGGAUUCGGAAUGAAAGUUUCUGGCGAUAAUCCAGUCUACGUUCAAUCCGUAAAAGAAGGUGGUGCAGCAGCAAGAGCCGGUCUUCAUGCAGGUGACAAGAUAAUCAAGGUGAAUGGAGUCAACGUGAUGCAGUCUACACAUACGGAUGUGGUUCACCUUAUAAAAUCAUCGACACAAGUGGUAUUAACGGUGCAGCAAAAGCCAGUGGCAGCGAGCAGCGCGGUGGCAGUGACGGGGACAGCGACAGCGACAGCAACAGCAACGACAGCAUCCGGUUUGCAAGUCGGAAUAAUCGGCGCCGUAGCGAAUCAACAACAUCAACGUCCCGUCAGUUUGUCGGCGGCCGGAAACAUGUCUCCUUCACAAACAACCAUCUCUCUUCACAGAGCAUCUACCGCACCAGCAGGCAGUGCUUCGUGUAAUGCUCGAAUCACGGGUCCACAACCGGUCGAUCUUGAAAAGAAGCGACAAUUGGAAACACAAAGGGUUCACACAUUCCAGCUUAUGUUGGAGAAAGAACAAAGUUAUGUAGAUAAGUUACGGAGCGAGUUGGCGAAGGCUGGCACCGGUAAUGGAAACGCCAAUGUCGCGACUUUACAGACAGAGCUAGCGGGUGCCGAAAGAAGAGUGCGUACGUUGCAGGAACAACUCGCAGCGAUUAGCACGAGUAAUGAACAGCUUUGCUCGUUGGUAACAAACACCUCGUGCUCCUCGGGCUAUUAUCCACUCUCAAAUAACGGCAGUGGCACAGACGUGCCACCUCCCCUGCCGUCGCGUAAAUCCUUAUCCAUGCAAAGUCUCUCUCCACCGCCUUUGCCUCCCAGACCUCCACCUGUCGUAAAUACGCAAAACACAACCCAGCCGGAGCUGGAUCGACAUCUGUUGACUCAUUUAACGCCCUCGACCACAGUCAGUCACAGUAUUCCUAACUCUUUUUCUCAGGAUGCCAAUUUGAGCGCUUCAAAUGCGCUCACCAAACAUCAACGAACAAAGUCGAGUCCGGAACAAUUAGGAACUACAGCGAUAUCUCCGUCAGAAGCUAGUAGACGAUUGAUCGCAUCUGAAUCAAUGAGUGAUCUAUCACCUCCAAGACACAAACACAAUGAUAUAGAUGUCAAUGAAUUACCGCGUAUUACACCACCGGGGACACCACCGCCACCAUAUCCAGCCCCCAUUUUAGGACAAGAUAUCUUUUCGUCUACGCCAAACGAUGUACUUGCAACUGAUAUCAUUCCUGGAUUGCCAGCGUUCCAACAGCCAAUUAUGUCAAUGGAAGAAGAUGAUGUUAGUGAUCAAGAAAUUGGUCAAUUGGAAGAUCAUGGACCGUUUCAAUCUUUAUCCAGGUUGUGGGGACAUCAUGCACAUCUUGCUGUAUUUAUUAAUUACGUUUUAUCUAAUAGUGAUCCUUCUAGCCUGUUAUUUUAUUUGAUAACGGAUUUAUAUAAGGAGGGAAAUGCCAAAGAAAUGAGAAAAUGGGCAUAUGAGAUUCAUUCUAGUUUCUUAGUACCUGGUGCGCCAUUACGUCUACAUAAUGUAGAUGAAAAUGUUGCGAAUGAAAUAGACGAUGUUCUCUUGAAGGAAUCUGAUAAAGAAGAAAUUCUUAGAAAGAUAUUUUGGAAAGCACGUAAUAGAGCGAAGGAAGAAUUGAACGAACAAUUGACACAUUUCCAACAAAAAAGAACCGCAGGAUUGGCCACUAUCUUUGGUCCGACUGAUAUUUCGCUUGAUGAGAGUAUAUCCGACAAAACGCGUGAAACAAAAAUUAUUGAGACAUAUCUGCUGCCAAAGAUGGAACCUUAUUUGGAGGAUAUAGAGAAAGAACAUGUGGAUUUGCGGUUAUUCACAACAGCAGCUGGUCUAGCUACAAUAUUGAUAAAGAUAUUUCAAUUGCGACCGGUAUGGGCCGAUCGGGUACCUACUUUUGUCGCGAAAGACAAAUCCAACAUCAAAGCACGGCUGCUUACUGGAAAAACACGUAAAAUGACGAUUAGAGGACAUCAUUUUGUGGCACAUCAAUACUUUACAAUAACUUACUGCAAUCAUUGUCAACUUAUCAUUGGUGGUAUCGGUCCUCAAGGAUAUUUAUGUAGUGAUUGUUCUCUCAGCGUACAUCGACAAUGUGUUCGUGUGGUAGAGGAAAAUUGCCCGGGUCCUUUGGUGCGAAAAGAAAGAGCCAAUGAUAGAAUCAGUAAACUGAUGGAGCGCAUUCGACCUGAGAGGAAACCUCCAUCUCAUCAUCACCAUCAUUCUCAGAAUCAUAUAUUACAUUUAGACAAAAUCAAAAGAAAUGAAGAAGAUUCCGGUACACUAACGGAUGGGGAGAAUGGAGAACAACGGUCAAGCAGUAUAGCUGGAAAUACUCGCAGCAGUUGCGAAAGGUCACGAAUUUCCGGUUUAGGAGGAACUAAUGAUCAUACCGAUAACAUGGACAAUCCUUCAUCACGAGAAGAUAUUUCCGAAAUGGUCCAGCAAAAUAUUUCCAGUAAGCCAAAGACGUCAAACAUCAACAGGUCUGAAAGUUACAAGGAGCGGAUACAUCAUAAGCGGCAAUUGAGAGAAAAAAGAAAGACCAGCGAUCCGAAUCUCUCCAAAACAAAAGUCGGUUCCAGCGAUUGCGAGCCUUCUGGAAUCUUUCCCGGGAAUUCGGCCGGAAGUUCGUCAAACAGCAGCCUAUCGACUAGGAGUCUGGAUAGUCCCAGUACUAGUCUCGAGCAGGUACAUCCCACCACAUCGACGGCAAACGCUUCAACUUCGUGGGACAGUGAUGUCGAUGUCGAGGCUGAUCCGCCGGAUUGGAGCCAGGCUGUCAGCGAGGACGUUCUUGCACAACUCAGUAAUUCCGAAAAAAAGAGACAGGAUGUUAUUAACGAAUUAUUCCAUACCGAACGUUCUCACGUUCGCGCGUUGAAAGUGCUCUCGCAUGUCUUCCACAAACCUUUGUUGGAGUCCCAAGUGCUACCGUUAGAUCAGAUUCAACUGCUUUUCUCCAACUUGGACGAGAUGUUGAUGAUCCAUUCGCGCUUUAAUCAGUCGAUGAAGCGAAAGAAGAAGGAGAAUCCGUGUGUGGGUGAUGUUGGCGAACUUCUGCUAGAGAUGUUUGACGGCGAGGCCGGCGAGGCGUUUGAGAAGGCCGCAUCGACUUACUGUGCUAAGCAACAAGUUGCCCUGGAUGCUUUGCGCGAUCGUCGACGCAAGGAUUCCAAACUGAACGCCUUCCUGAAUGAAGUGGAAGCGAAUCCGUUGUGCCGCCGGCUUCAGUUGAAAGAUCACAUACUCACUGGUAUGCUGCGACUCACUAAGUACCCAUUACUAUUUGAGAACCUCGCUAAAUACACGCCGGACAAUAAUGAGAAAGAGAAGGCGGCCGUAUUACGAAGUCUUGAGCGGAGUAAAGAGAUCCUGAGUCGCGUUAACCAGGCGGUGAAGGAGGCCGAGGACUAUCAGCGACUCGUGGACAUCCAACGAGCGAUUGAUCGAUCGGCCUUUGACAAGUUCGAUCACCCGACCGUACAAGAGUUCAAGCAUCUCGACAUCACGAAGCGCAAAUUGAUUUAUGAGGGUCCGCUGCAGUGGCGACGCACCGAACCGAAUCGAUCGAUGCCGAAUCGCUCGGUGCCAAAACCGGUGGAUUUGCAUGUAGUUCUACUCGACGAUACAAUCUUCUUCUUACAUCGACAAGAUGACAAAUAUCUUCUUAAGUUCAUUAACACGACCAAUCAGGCAGGCAAUUCUGUGCUCAGUCCAAUCGUCAAGCUCUCCACUGUACUCGUACGCCAUAAUGCCGCCGAAAAGGACUCUCUUUAUUUGGUCAAUACUUCGCAGAACGGUGCGCAAAUGUACAAUCUAGUGGCGCCGUCUUCCGCGGAGCGCAAGCUCUGGUGUAAGCACAUCUCCGAGGCCGUGGAAGCUUAUAAGGCCCGCGAUCGCCAGGGCAGAAGACCAACGCCGCCCACUAUGCUUCCGGAGGAACCGACACACGCGAUGGAAGAUGGAUCGCCUUCAGAAGCAGACAGCAUAAUUGUUGAGAAAGCUCAAUCGCAGAAUAGAGAAUCGAGGGAGCUUGGACAAAACGCUGCUGCUGGUAUGCAGGAGCAUGAUGAGGAAACACCGGAAACCACUACGACUACGGAAACUCCCACGACCGAACAAACGCAACAACGGAUGCAGCAACAAUCGACUGUUGAGUCGCCAAUGACAGGUGUAGCGGAACCAUUACGAAUGGUCACAUGCACUCAGCUUUCAUUGAUAGAUCCAUUGGAAGUUCAUGUAGAAGUACCACCGGUGCAUAUUGCAGAGCCGGUCCUUACACCAAUAGAAUGUUUGAGGCGUAAGGACGAAAUAAUCAAACAGGCUCUACUUGAGAAGCACAUACUAAUGGCGGAUAUAUUAAAUAUUCCUAAAGAAGAUUUCGAGCAUGUGGCAGACAUAGCAUCUGAACCAUCUGCUGAGAAAGAACCUACUGAACUUAUACUUGCUGCUAUUAGCCAAACGGAUCAUCUAGUUGGAAUAUUAAAUUCUGCAUUAAAUGUAAGCGAAACGGAAACGAUAUUUGCAUCAUGUGGAGCAUCGGCGUUAUCGGCUCCCGCUGCAUGCGAAGCUACAGGUUGCCCUACACUACGAAACCAUUCGCAUCCUCAGCAAUCGAUCAUGGGGAUGAUGCAGCCGAUUUGUCAUUAUCUCACGUCCCAGCUUUCGCAACUGUCACAACUCCUGGAAAUCAUAAAGGAGAGAGAAGAAGAGCGGGAAAAAUUAAGAAAAGAAUUACGUAGAAGUAGAGAACGUAUACAUGCACUUGACAGCGACGUACAACGCCGUGAGUUUUCGGAAGUGAUAACUACGACAACACACACGCAAACGGCAACUGAUGACGUCAUGUAUCAAGACAGUUGUACCGAUGACAUCAUUCAUGAUUGAGAGCUUGGGAAUCUUAGACAUCAGAGACAUGAAAAAACUUCUUAUGCAGUAAAUAAUAGACGAAUCGAUUGAUCACACUUGAACAAUUUUGAAAAGGAGUUCGUCGAUGCACACGGAGAAACGAUUGGAGAUUCGAAUACAGAAAAUCUUAAACUUCAAGCGGAAACCGAAAUGAUGGGCGAUAGCGUCGGCUGAAACGCAGCGAAAAAACGUUUUGAUCAUAUCCUUCUUGAUCUUGGUGCAUUUCAUGAGCGGUGCUGGAACGUUCUCGUAUACCGAAAGAGAUCAGAAUUAUUUGUAGAAAAAAAACUGAAAAACGCGCGGACGAUACAUAUAUACGUGUGUGAGACAUAUAAUUCUUUACUGUGGAUAAUAAUACGUAUAUACAGAAGAGAGAAACAAGUCAAGUCAUUAGCUGUUUUAUUUAUCUAAUAAAAUUUUUGGGAAAAAUAUUUGAUAACAUUUGAUUAUAUGAUAUUUAUAUACUGUAACCUCUUUCAAUAGAAAUUCGAUGCAUAAUAUAGUUAUGGAAUACAAUAUAUACUACAAAUCUGUGUUCACAAAUUAUCUCUUUUUCUAAAUGAUUUUUUUUAUUAUUUUGUAGAACACCGGAAGCAUAUUUGCAUAUUUCUUAUACGAUGUGAUUUUUCAUGUCCUGCCAAAUUUGUAUAGAUUGUUCAUAUAUAAAGUUCCUUCAAGAUAAUCUUAUGGAAGAAAAUUGUUUGCUGAUGUAUGUACACAAACAAUAUAUUGGCUUAAUUCAGAUUAUUAAACACGAUUAUAUGUGGGUAAUAUAAUUAUUAUUAAUAAUACAAUAUAAUGAUUAUAUUAAAUAUCAUCAUCAUGUUUCAUGAAUCGUAUAUCUUUCUAACAAUAAAUAUCGAUUAAAUAAGAUAUAUAUAUCACUUAUGCUUUUUUUUGUUAAAUUUUUUCAAAAGUUUUUAUCAAAAUAAAACAGCUGAUAAACUUUUGUUUCAUUCCUGUAUUCACCAAAAUAUGAAUCGAUGAUUUUGCCAAAGAUUUUAUGUAAAUAGAUUUACAUAAUCUGCAUUAAUCUCUCAGAUGCAACUUUUUGUAUAUCAUUGUGUUGUUAUUUUGCGAGUCCUGUAUAUUAUUAUUACUAUUAUAUUAUAUAUUAUUAUUAUUUAAAAAGUCCAGUUUAUAUGUGAAUGCAAAAACGGAUAGCAAAGUUAUGCGCGAAAAAUCUGUAUAUUUAAUUAUUAUUAAUUAUAGCUAUUGUUAAUUUCUUUGAAUUUUUCGAGCAUGUAUCAAUGUUGCAACAUAUAAAUUUGGAUACUUAUUAGUUCAAAACAUAGAAAUUAUAUAUGAUGACUUGUGAAUAUUCGAUUCUUUAUACCAGAAAUAUAGAAAAUCUUCUUGCGAGAUAUUAGGAAAAAUCACAUAAAAAGUGCGAUUUUUUCACAUUUUUACAAAAUUGUGCAUUAAAAAGCUGCUAUUUACAAAUGGUAAUCAUAAGAUGUAUUUUAAUAAUUUGAUACACAUAAAAUAUCUUUAAAAGAAUUUUGUGAAUUGAAUAGAAAAAGUCUUGAGACGAUUACUUGUUAUAUAUAAUAAGAAAAAUUGUGAAUCAAAAUUUUGCAUAAUUUACAGCUUCCAUAAUUCGUUAAAUAUCUGAGCAAAACACUAGAAAUUGUUCUAGCAUCUAAGAUUUUAUAGAUUUUUGAGAAACUACUUUCUCUAAAAAUUUAAGAAUUUAAAAUCUAAGGAUACAAAGAUUCUAAAAUAUAAGAAUCCAAGAAUCUACAAAUAUAAACAUACAUUUUUUUUUAUAAGGUAGACAGUAGUUUACGUACUUAAAUAAAUUUGUACACAUACACGAUGCUCGUGUGAAUUGAUGCAGGAUAUCUCAAAAUGUGUCUCAGAUAUGUAUUCACUAGCAUAAUCUUCUCUCGUUUUUUAUUCAUUUUACGAUUUUAGAAAUUUUUUUUUUAAGGGAGAUUUAAAUUUUUUUAAGAUAGUUAAAUACUUCCCUCCCCCUCUUUUACCGUUUGUUAAAUAAAUGAUUUUGUAAAAUAAUUAAAGAACAAAGUUUUACGACUUAAAAAUACCUGCAAAUCCUAGAGUAUAAGGAUUGUAUAAUUUAAAUAUUUUGAAAAUGUACAAAUAUAAGGAAACUUUUAAAUUAAUUUAUUAGUUUACUUUAAUUUUAAAUGAAAAAUCUGAAAAUCUAAAGAUUUAAAAGCCAAUAAUUGGAAAAAGUUUUUUGAAUGUGAAAGAAUUAUUUUGACUCUUUCAACGAUUUAAUUAAAUUAUAAAGUAUAUUAUUUAUAUGCACAUAUUUUUUGGAUAUUCUUUCUGAAUAAAUUUAAUAUUAUAUUAAAGUAUAACAAAAAUUGUCUUUUUACAAUGUCACAUUGAUUUCUAAUUGUCUUUUGUAUGGAAAUUCUUGUGAAACAAAAUUAUUCUGAAUGCAUGAAACACUUGAAGAAUUAGUGAUAUUGUCUAAUCUGCUAAGAAAAAAAUACAUACGAAAAAUCUUGGUAUCUAGUAUCUAUGUAAACGAUUUUUUAUCAAUGAAAUCGUUUUAAUUUAAUAAAGCAUAUUUAUAACAUAUGCUAUCAACUUUUGAUGUACUCUUUAUAAAUAGAGAUAUGAAACACAUGUCCUGCGUUAUAUUCAGGUUAUUAUCAAAUAUUAAUAUAAUGAUUUUCUUAUCUUUCAAUUAAAAUAUAUUUUCAUAAUGUUAAAUCCACGAAAUUUUUAAGAAAAAAAUUAUGAUGCGAAAAAUAUAUUGGUAACCAAUUAUUUAAAAAUGAGUAAUUCUAUUUUUAGCUUUAUUUGAAAAAUACAAUAGAUCUUUUUUGUGCUGAUCUAAUAGAUUAUAACUAAUUAUGACAUCUAUUUUAUAUUACAUUUACAUAACUUUUUUGGACACGUAUAUUUAUUUUUUAAAUUGUUUCACAAAUCAAACUAAUUUUAUCAUCAAACAUCAAUAAUAUAUAAUCAACAUUUAUGUGAAUUUAACUGCUCAUUUGCGCUUUUGCUCUCAAUUCCUCGCUUUGCACAUCAUAAUCCGAGACGAUUGAUAAGACAGCUAGAUCUUGAAAUACACAUACAAAUAUGCUCGAUUUUUAAAAAGAAUACUAGAUAAAGGAAGUAGGCUGAAUGAAAUUCUCUCUGCGAAUAAAAUUUAGAUUUAUUAGCAUGACAAGAUUAAAUAUGAAAGACUUCUGUAUAUUGUUAUUUUUCUUUCUUUUUCUUGUAAACUGCGUAUAUAAAGGACUCGUCUACUUACAUAAAAUCUUUGCUAUUAUAUGGAAUACUAAUAAUUUUUAAUGCUUAGACAAAAACCAUUAGAAAUGCGAUACUAUUGUGUAUGUAUAAAAUAUUUAAUAACAUUAUUGGAUAAUAUUUUAUUAUUAUUAUUAUUAUUAUUAUUAUUAUUAUUAUUAUAGUAUUAAAACAAUUAUUGAAUUGUGUAA